rnacentral:rRNA from 1 species
GAUGAACGCUGGCGGCGUGCCUAAUACAUGCAAGUCGAGCGAACAGAUGAGGAGCUUGCUCCUCUGACGUUAGCGGCGGACGGGUGAGUAACACGUGGAUAACCUACCUAUAAGACUGGGAUAACUUCGGGAAACCGGAUCUAAUACCGGAUAAUAUAUUGAACCGCAUUGUUCAAUAGUGAAAGACGGUUUUGCUGUCACUUAUAGAUGGAUCCGCGCCGCAUUAGCUAGUUGGUAAGGUAACGGCUUACCAAGGCAACGCUGGGUAGCCGACCUGCGAGGGGGAUCGGCCACACUGGAACUGAAACACGGACAAGACUCCUACGGGAGGCAGCAGUAGGGAACCUUCCGCAAUGGGCGAAAGCAUGACGGAGCAACGCCGCGUGAGUGAUGAAGGUCUUCGGAUCGUAAAAAUCUGUUAUUAGGGAAGAACAAAUGUGUAAGUAACUAUGCACGUCUUGACGGUACCUACUCAGAAAGCCACGGCUAACUACGUG